AGGACGAACGCUGGCGGCGUGCUUAACACAUGCAAGUCGAGCGGAAAGGCCCUUCGGGGUACUCGAGCGGCGAACGGGUGAGUAACACGUGAGUAAUCUGCCCCUAGCUCUGGGAUAGCUCCGGGAAACCGGGAUUAAUACCGGAUACGACCACCUUAGACAUCUUUGUGGUGGAAAAAAUUUACGGCUAGGGAUGAGCUCGCGGCCUAUCAGCUUGUUGGUGGGGUAACGGCCUACCAAGGCGACGACGGGUAG
rnacentral:rRNA from 1 species